GGUCUAUCCAAGCGCAUGAGAGAAAACCCGUCCAAAGUUACUGAUUCAACAGGUGUAUCCUCUCCAAGCCAAGUUUCUGUGAAACAAAACAAGCUCCCAUCACGAAAGUCCCGUUGGUUUGCGGACAGCUCAUCUCCCUCGUUGGGCAGUGAGCGCACGUUCCCCAUGAUAAUAGACGGAAGGCCUCGGUCCCUUCGGGCCUCCCCCUUUACUGAGAGAACAUCAGGUCCUGCAGUUGGACUCUUCAGCCCUGCCAAAAUCAGGCCAUAGACAUCCUCACAGGACUCAAACUCCCAGGAGGCUGCAGGAGAGUAUCUCACUCCCUUCAGUAAUUCAGUGUACAUGGCCAUUGUGAUGAUGAUCAGGAGGAAGAGUCCUACUCCAACUCCUGUACCUAUUAUCAGGUCUCUACGGGGAGGAAUGAUGAUCUCAGCCUGGACAUCAAUCUGGAGGAAUACAUUUUGAGACAAUGAGUAACGAUGGAACAAGCAUUUUAACAACAAUUCUUAUACAGUAAAUCAGUUUAAUUCCACAAAUGGAAUUACCUGUGUUUGGUGGAAGCUUGAAGAGUUAUCCUAAUGAGCAAAUAAAUACAUACAAAAUUGAUGCUUUUGGGAAUCUUUGCUCAAUAAAUAUUUGUAUUUUUGUUGAAGUUUUUUUUACAGGAAACUUACCCCUGGGUCACUCGCUGUCUGGACAUAUCGUUUAUUGUCAUAGCUGAGUUUGACAAAACUGAUGAAAUUGACUGUUUCUCUAUCCCCAGUGAAUUUCUUUGGCAAAGACAAGCUCUGUAGAGUGAGAUAUUGUUAGUAUCAACCAACCUAACAACAACAUUUAUAUUGAGAUUUUAUACAAAGGCAUUUGUCACAGAACGUGUAACAAAACAUAUACUUAAACCCCCAAAUGAACAAGCUUAGGGUGACAGAGGCAGUGGAGGCUGCUGAGGGGAGGAUGGCUCGUAAUGGCUGGAAUGAAGCAAAUGGAAUGGCAUCAAACAUGUGUUUGACAUAUUUAAAACCAUUCCACUGAUUCCUCUUCAGCCAUUACCACGAGCCCGUCCUCCCCAAUUAAGGUGCCACCAACCUCCUGUGGACAGAGAAUAUAUUUAUAUGCACACAAAUAAUUCAAUAUUAAACUGAUUAUGGCAAUACUCAGUUUAGCAUUAGUCAUGUAAACACCUUUCUCUGAUUAUCUUAAUCGGCGUACUCAUGAGCGAAGUAAGCGUAAACCUAUUAAAACAUCUUAUUUGCAAUCUUUUCAAAUUAUUGGAACACGUAAACACCUUUAAAGGGAUACUGUGAGAGAGCUAUGCUACUGUACCUGUAGACUUCCAGUCAUUGCGCUAGCCAACGCUAGUUAGCAUUGGCUCACAAAACGACCACUAACUUCCUUUGUACUGCACGCAGAGAAAUAAAUUAUUUCCACAAGUUCAUCCGACUCUGGGUGAGUAGAACAAGAAUCUUGCAGUAUCCCUUUAAUGGUGUAUCUGUAUCCUGUGGUGUAUCUGAUCUGCGCAUUUGCUAUCAUGAGCACCGCGAGCAUCCCUCUGUGGCGCGAGUGAUGCGAGUCCAGAAAAUCCUAACGUAUGCAUCUUAGAAUUACUUUUCACAUGUCCUUGUCCUUUUCUAUGUGUUAGGCCUGGUAUGGUUCCCAAUCAGAGGCAGCUGUCAAUCGUUGUCUCUGAUUGAGAACCAUACUUAGGUAGCCUGUUCCCACCUGUGUUUGUGGGUAGUUGUUUUCUGUUGUGUGUCUACACCAGCCAGAACUGUUUCGGUUGUUCUCUUUGUUGUUUUUUGUCAUUCAGUGUUCAGAUUAUUUGAUUAAA